rnacentral:antisense_RNA from 1 species
AUAGAAUUGGGAUCUGUUUCAGAUAUCUCUGCUUUGGAAAUCCAUGUGACGACCUGGCGUAAAAUUUGGUUUAGGGCCAGAAAAUAUGAUGAGUAUUUAAUCUUGAGAAUAAUGUUAAAGGUAAGCAUAUAAAUGGAUUUUCUGAUAGCUAUGUCUUUGAAUAAAUGAUUAUUAGUUAAAUCUAUGGAUGUGAUAAAUUCUAGCCCAGAGUGGGCAAUUUGUCCAAUGUUUGCAUUGUUAGAUGAUGUGUUAACGAUAAUUUGGUUAAAUAGUUCUAGAGAUGAAAUGAAGAAUAUAUUAGGAAUUUUCUCAAAGCAUUCGUGAUUUUCAGAGUGCGUAAUUAGUUCCAUGAUAUAUUUAACUAGACGGGAUGACCAAAUUAGUGAAUAUUUAUCAAAUAGAUUAAUUAUAGUUUUUUUAUUAGGGCGAAUAGUUGAUUGAGUAUUACUUUGUGUAUUUGCCAUGUUUUGGCAUGCAGAUGUCAGAGAAUUUAGUAUGAGGAUCCUGAAAUCCAUUGGAAUCCCGUUGUUCAUAUUGCAUGAAUAGUUAAUCAUUUCCACUGAAACUUUAUCUGUCUUAUACUGAAUUAGUUUUGAAAAAAUUAUGAGUACAAGUAUCUUUUGAUCUUUUUCUUUUAAUGAAAUUAACUUAUCAAUAAGAGGAAGAAUUAGGUGGUCAUAAUUAGAAUCAUCCUUUUCGAUAUUUUCAG